rnacentral:rRNA from 1 species
ACGCUGGCGGCGUGCCUAAUACAUGCAAGUCGAGCGAAUGGAUUAAGAGCUUGCUCUUAUGAAGUUAGCGGCGGACGGGUGAGUAACACGUGGGUAACCUGCCCAUAAGACUGGGAUAACUCCGGGAAACCGGGGCUAAUACCGGAUAACAUUUUGAACUGCAUGGUUCGAAAUUGAAAGGCGGCUUCGGCUGUCACUUAUGGAUGGACCCGCGUCGCAUUAGCUAGUUGGUGAGGUAACGGCUCACCAAGGCAACGAUGCGUAGCCGACCUGAGAGGGUGAUCGGCCACACUGGGACUGAGACACGGCCCAGACUCCUACGGGAGGCAGCAGUAGGGAAUCUUCCGCAAUGGACGAAAGUCUGACGGAGCAACGCCGCGUGAGUGAUGAAGGCUUUCGGGUCGUAAAACUCUGUUGUUAGGGAAGAACAAGUGCUAGUUGAAUAAGCUGGCACCUUGACGGUACCUAACCAGAAAGCCACGGCUAACUACGUGCCAGCAGCCGCGGUAAUACGUAGGUGGCAAGCGUUAUCCGGAAUUAUUGGGCGUAAAGCGCGCGCAGGUGGUUUCUUAAGUCUGAUGUGAAAGCCCACGGCUCAACCGUGGAGGGUCAUUGGAAACUGGGAGACUUGAGUGCAGAAGAGGAAAGUGGAAUUCCAUGUGUAGCGGUGAAAUGCGUAGAGAUAUGGAGGAACACCAGUGGCGAAGGCGACUUUCUGGUCUGUAACUGACACUGAGGCGCGAAAGCGUGGGGGAGCAAACAG